rnacentral:rRNA from 1 species
CAGCGGGGGGCCCUUACACAUGCAAGUCGAGGGGUAUAGUUCUUCGGAACUAGAGACCGGCGCACGGGUGCGUAACGCGUAUGCAAUCUACCUUUUACAGAGGGAUAGCCCAGAGAAAUUUGGAUUAAUACCUCAUAGUAUAUAGACCUGGCAUCAGGAUUAUAUUAAAGUCACAACGGUAAAAGAUGAGCAUGCGUCCCAUUAGCUAGUUGGUAAGGUAACGGCUUACCAAGGCUACGAUGGGUAGGGGUCCUGAGAGGGAGAUCCCCCACACUGGUACUGAGACACGGACCAGACUCCUACGGGAGGCAGCAGUGAGGAAUAUUGGACAAUGGGCGCAAGCCUGAUCCAGCCAUGCCGCGUGCAGGAUGACGGUCCUAUGGAUUGUAAACUGCUUUUAUACGAGAAGAAACACUACUUCGUGAAGUAGCUUGACGGUAUCGUAAGAAUAAGGAUCGGCUAACUCCGUGCCAGCAGCCGCGGUAAUACGGAGGAUCCAAGCGUUAUCCGGAAUCAUUGGGUUUAAAGGGUCCGUAGGCGGUUUAAUAAGUCAGUGGUGAAAGCCCAUCGCUCAACGGUGGAACGGCCAUUGAUACUGUUAGACUUGAAUUAUUAGGAAGUAACUAGAAUAUGUAGUGUAGCGGUGAAAUGCUUAGAGAUUACAUGGAAUACCAAUUGCGAAGGCAGGUUACUACUAAUGGAUUGACGCUGAUGGACGAAAAGCGUGGGUAGCGAACAGGAUUAGAUACCCUGGUAGUCCACGCCGUACACGAUGGAUACUAGCUGUUGGGAGCAAUCUCAGUGGCUAAGCGAAAGUGAUAAGUAUCCCACCUGGGGAGUACGUUCGCAAGAAUGAAACUCAAAGGAAUUGACGGGGGCCCGCACAAGCGGUGGGAGCAUGUGGUUUAAUUCGAUGAUACGCGAGGAACCUUCCCAAGGCUUAAAUGUAGAUUGACCGGUUCGGAAACAGAUCUUUCGCAAGACAAUUUACAAGGUGCUGCAUGGUUGUCGUCAGCUCGUGCGGUGAGGUGUCAGGUUAAGUCCUAUAACGAGCGCAACCCCUGUUGUUAGUUGCCAGCGAGUCAUGUCGGGAACUCUAACAAGACUGCCAGUGCAAACUGUGAGGAAGGUGGGGAUGACGUCAAAUCAUCACGGCCCUUACGCCUUGGGCUACACACGUGCUACAAUGGCCGGUACAGAGAGCAGCCACUGGGCGACCAGGAGCGAAUCUAUAAAACCGGUCACAGUUCGGAUCGGAGUCUGCAACUCGACUCCGUGAAGCUGGAAUCGCUAGUAAUCGGAUAUCAGCCAUGAUCCGGUGAAUACGUUCCCGGGCCUUGUACACACCGCCCGUCAAGCCAUGGAAGCUGGGGGUGCCUGAAGUCGGUGACCGCAAGGAGCUUCUUAAUUAUAAAAACCCUGUUCG